rnacentral:rRNA from 1 species
GGCUUUGGCUUUCGUGUGGUUCAUGAUGUUCGAGACUUUGGUUUCGCGCACGCGUCCACUGCGGUAUGUCCGGAGUCGUCGGCGUGCACUUCUCCCCUAGUAGGACGUCGUGACCCGUUGGGUGUUGGUUUACGGUCUGGGUGGUUGCCUGUUCCGUCGCAUUUUAUGCGCACGGAGCAGACCCCCGUGUACCCGACCAACUGCCCGGCGGUACUCGCACGGUAUCGGGCCGCACUUAUGUGCGUCGGGCCCGUCGCAAGCGAGAUCAGUGUUACCCGGAGGUGCGGACCUAGUGCCGUCCCCGGGCCUGGUCAGCUGUUGGUCGGCGGUGUUCUCGGACAGGCUCAUCCAAAAUGAUACCGGUCGGCGACGCUACUGCUUUGGGUACUUUCAGGACCCGUCUUGAAACACGGACCAAGGAGUCUAACAUGUGCGCGAGUCAUUGGGACCGCAAAACCUAAAGGCGUAAUGAAAGUGAAGGUCGACCUUGCGUCGACUAAGGGAGGAUGGGUUGCGUCACGAUGCAGCCCCGCACUCCCGGGGCGUCUCGUACUCAUUGCGAGUAGAGGCGCACCCAGAGCGUACACGUUGGGACCCGAAAGAUGGUGAACUAUGCCUGGUCAGGACGAAGUCAGGGGAAACCCUGAUGGAGGUCCGUA